GGAAAGCAGGUCUAAGGGGACUUUCCAAAGCCAGAACUCUUACUCCCCUCAAGACUUCUUGUCCCUGGAGCACUGUGGCACUGUCUGCAGGGAAAGAGCACGACUCCUCCAGGUUGUGAUUUCCCCCUGCAACACUUGCGCCACCAGAUUCCAGAUGCCAGCAUGAUGCCGACCAGACUUCCCUGGACAGACAACCCCACCAAUGU